GUCCUGCCAGCUCUGGCCUGGAACGCCCUGGUGUCACGCCGCUGCAUAUACUCAGUGGGCAGCAUCUCGCAGCACAGGACGAGGGAAAGUGCAACUUGGAGUGGGACAAACGACUUUGCAAAGGACGGGAACAAGUUGGUGACCAUACUGAGAGCAGGAGAGUGACAACGUCUUCAACACAAAGAAAGAACCAGCACCACCUGUGGAUUCAAGGCCACUGAACAGCUGAGGAGAAGCGAAGAGCUUGAGGAACUGGAAAAGACACCUGCAUUUUUAAGAAUCGGUGCGAAACAGUCUUACAACUGAGCAGGCCUUUGUACUCAACUAAAACCCAAAACUGGAACCCUGCCUCGCAUAUAAAGUGAUGUCACCCUGAAAUUCAAGGCCCUGUUGGAUGCUCAAGGGACACACCUGUGCAUUCAGAGCUUGAAGGUCUGCUCCACCAACUUCAAGGCCCUUACAGCAUAGGCCUGGCGCCUUUCACUGCAAGGUUCCAGUGCACAGAAAUUAUAUGAGCCAGGUGAUAACCCCAAGCAGGUGAGCAUAGGAACCUGCAGAUUGCACACUGUACACUCCGGCUACUUUCUAGAUAGUAAUCCCUUUUACUAGGGGCUCUGUGGAGAUGGAGACACAGUUUGCAUGUAGCCAAUCAGGUCUCAUCCAUCUCGGAAGGACUACAAUAGCUCAUCACAGUGCAGACCACAGCAUGAAAGCCAGCAGUGAUGGUAAGCAGUUCAGCCAUGAAGAGCUAACGGCCUGCAGUCACUAACCAGUCUCAGGUUGACUAAAGCUGAUUCUGUCCCAGGGAAUGGUACAGCUCAUGUGCAUUUGUCCAAAAACAAGCAAACAAACAAAAACAAAACAAAACAAAACCCAACCAAAACCAAAAAACAAAACAGUGGAACGCAAGAUUGAACUGGAAUCUAUUCUUUGCCCUUUAGUUUAUGACAUACAAAUACUAGCUCAUUAUUACUGCACAUCUAUUAAGACGAGAUGCUAAUGACUGGGAGGAAGGAGUAGACACUGGAGAUGUCUCUAUUUUCUGCUCAUUUUUGGUAAACCUUUUAAAACCCAAGAAAAAUUAAGAACAAGGUAAGGAUGACUAUUUGUCUAUCAGGGUUCUUGCAAGAAUCCCGUAGGACAUCGAGGAGGCUGUCACUGCCUUCCAGGACCCAAAUCCUCCUGUAGGAUCACUGAAGCAGUCAUCUCCUCAUUCUCAUCCCCCUGACCCAUUGCCUAGGCUAGGGUGGGGACAGGGUGGUUUUCAGAGCUGUCACUGGGAUGCACUCUGCUGGCUUCUGGAGUUUUGUGCUGGAGAGAUCCUCAUAAACUCCUGACACCC